rnacentral:miRNA from 1 species
AGGGGCGGGAGGGGUCGGGC